AGGACGAACGCUGGCGGCGUGCUUAACACAUGCAAGUCGAACGAUGAACUCACCUUCGGGUGGGGGAUUAGUGGCGAACGGGUGAGUAACACGUGGGCAACCUGCCCCUGACUCUGGGAUAACUCCGGGAAACCGGAGCUAAUACCGGAUAUGAACACGAAGGACAUCCUUUGUGUUGGAAAGUUUUUCGGUCAGGGAUGGGCCCGCGGCCUAUCAGCUAGUUGGUGGGGUAAUGGCCCACCAAGGCGACGAC
rnacentral:rRNA from 1 species